GUCAGUGUUCAGACUGUAGAUGAGUGUGCGCGUUUGCUAAAAUAUGAACAAGUACUGUUAACCCAUUCGCUGGUGUGGAAUCUGAAAUUGCCUGCGUGACAAAGCACAAGAUGGCGACGAGUUGGAACGAGGUCACCCUUGAGGAAGGUUACUAGAGAGAGAAGGGUGACGUCAUGCUCACACUGAGACACCUGCCAGGCUCCCAGGGUGUAGGAUGCUGUGUGUGAUGGAGGGGACCGAUGGAACGCGAGACGCCACCUCGGAGUUCAUCGCCACGGGGCCACGGGGCGCACGGAAAAGCCAUGCCC